AUGGCGACGGCGAAGGGCACCGUGCGGUGGCGGCAGGACGGGGAUCGCACCCGGGAAAACCUGCAAAAGAGGAUCAGGUGCCGCCGAGACAGGCUCCUCCAGGACGCCUGGGAGAUCUCCGAGCUCUUCGCGCCCCACCUCGCCAUCCUCGCCUUCCCCGCCUCUGGCAAAGCCAAACCCCUCCUCUUCGGCAACCCCACCCUCGACUCCGUCCUCCGCAACGUCCUUGUCGACGCCGACAUAGGGGCCGAGACGGCGGAGGAGGCCGCGGCGCGCGUGGCGGCGAUGAGGCGUGAGGUGGGGUCGAUCGAGGCGCGGGUCGCGCAGGAGGAGGCGCGACUGCGCGCCGUCGCGGUGAAGGUCAAGGCGGCGCAGGAGGAACAGGGGAGGGCUCACUGGUGGGAGGUGGAUGUGCACGUACUGGGGGAGGCGGAGCUGCCGGAGUUCGCCACGGCGCUCGAUGCUCUCAGGGCCGACGUCCUCCGCCGCCUCACCGAGCUGGCCGAAGCCCGGAAGCCACCGCGGCAGCAGUGGUAG
rnacentral:rRNA from 1 species